rnacentral:tRNA from 1 species
AUUUAGAUAGUUUAAUUAAAACAUUGAUUUGUGGAAUCAAAAUUAUUUUAAUAAUUUUAAAUU